CAAUCUCCACCAUUGAUUAUAGCGUUUGAUUAUAUUAGUUUAAUAAUGGUCCAAAUCUGCGCCCUUUCUCCUAAUUGGCUAAUACAUGACUCCCAAGAUUGCCAUCUCAGCCAUUAAUUUCAUUUUAAUCUAAGGGUCAAAACUUUUUUGGUUUUCUCUACUCUCUCUGACAUUUUCUUUCUUCUUUCUCCUCAUUCAUCUCUUCUGCAAACAGAAGAUAUCUCUCAUUCAAUUCACAAUUGUUUCUUUCUCUUCCUUUCUCAAACACAAAUGCACGAGUAAAGAUUGAUUAAUUUAUACAAACAAUUGUAUUUAACUCCAGCAAUCCAACGUAUUCUGAAGCUGUUCAACAAUCUAAGUACAGAUUGAUUGGAGAAUCCAGUCAAACAUACGUCUCAAGAACUGGAUUCUGGCGGAGAAGAGAUGCCAUAUGCGGCGGAGGAAUUGAGAUCCAGGCGAGUCAUCAAUGGACUUGGCGCUGUUGCCUGAAGGUUGAAGAAUCAAAGAACGGGAAGCAGAAGGUGGAACAGGAAGAAGAAGAAAAGACGGCGUGACAUAGUGUGAUGGUGUACUAGCGCGACGCCGCGCUUGGUAAAACGGAGCAACACGAUGGCUCUUCAGCUCCAGCCAUACACUUCCUCGUGGCGGCGCAAGAGGCUAUCCAAGACAUAGGUUUAGGUUAUUUUGUAAACCAGUUUGUAAACCAAUUUAAAUUUGUAAACCAUAAAUACUAUUGUUAAUAAAAUAAAAUCAUUUGUUUUGUCUAGA